rnacentral:lncRNA from 1 species
CGGCGGAGUCGCCCUCGGGGGCUGUCAGAUUUGUGACCCAGAAGGAAAUCUCUGACCUCAGCUGUAGCUCUUGGUGCUGGCCAGAAGCCAACUUCAUGUCUGAGUGCACGAGCAGCAGUUUGCCAUGGAGAGCUUGGGGCUGCACACGGUGACCCUUAGUGAUGGGACAACAGCCUACGUCCAGCAAGCUGUCAAAGGAGAGAAGCUUCUUGAAGGGCAGGUGAUCCAGCUCGAGGAUGGGACCACCGCAUACAUUCACCAGGUGACGGUACAGAAAGAAGCUCUCUCCUUUGAGGAUGGUCAGCCUGUGCAGCUGGAAGAUGGCAGCAUGGCUUACAUACACCGCACACCCAGAGGUAGGGUCACCAUCAUCACAAC